UACGUAGGGGGCGAGCGUUGUCCGGAUUUAUUGGGCGUAAAGAGCUCGUAGGCGGUUCGGCAAGUCGAAUGUGAAAUCUCCACGCUCAACGUGGAGGGGUCAUUCGAAACUGCCGUGACUUGAGUACGGUAGGGGAGUGUGGAAUUCCCGGUGUAGCGGUGAAAUGCGCAGAGAUCGGGAGGAACACCCGUAGCGAAGGCGGCACUCUGGGCCGAUACUGACGCUGAGGAGCGAAAGCGUGGGGAGCAAACAGG
rnacentral:rRNA from 1 species